GUUUGAUCCUGGCUCAGAGCGAACGCUGGCGGCGUGCUUAACACAUGCAAGUCGAGUGCGCAGUCUGCUGUAGCAAUACAGCAGGCCGGCGCACGGCGCACGGGUGCGUAACACGUGGGUAACCUGCCCUCCAAAGGGGGAUAACCCCGCGAAAGCGGGGCUAAUACCGCAUGAUAUUCCAGAUUCUUCGGAGUUCGGAUUCAAAGCCCGCAAGGGCGUUGGGGGAGGGGCCCGCGGCCGAUUAGCUUGUUGGCGAGGUAACGGCUCACCAAGGCAAUGAUCGGUAGCCGGUCUGAGAGGAUGGCCGGCCACACUGGAACUGAGACACGGUCCAGACUCCUACGGGAGGCAGCAGUGGGGAAUCUUGCGCAAUGGGCGAAAGCCUGACGCAGCGACGCCGCGUGGGGGAUGAAGCUUCUCGGAGUGUAAA
rnacentral:rRNA from 1 species